rnacentral:ncRNA from 1 species
AAAAGACUUAGUCCUAACCUUACCAUUGGUUCUUACUGGGCUUAUACAUGCAAGUAUCUGCGCCCCGGUGUAAAUGCCCUCGACCUCUUACCAAGAUAAGAGGAGCAGGUAUCAGGUACGCUUAAAUGCAGCCCAGGACACCUUGCUUGGCCACGCCCCCACGGGUCUUCAGCAGUAAUUAACAUUAAGCAAUAAGCGAAAGCUUGACUUAGCCACAGUAGUAUCAGGGCUGGUAAAUCUUGUGCCAGCCACCGCGGCCACACAAGAAGCCCAAAUCAAUUGUAUUCGGCGUAAAGAGUGGUCUAAACACUGUCCCCCAACUGGGGCCAAAUUGCAACUGAGCUGUCAUAAGCCAAAGAUGCACUAAAGCCCAAUAUAAAUAUAACCCCAGCACCGCAGACUGAUAAACCCCACGAAAGCCAGGAAACAAACUGGGAUUAGAUACCCCACUAUGCCCGGCCGUAAAUCUUGAUGUUUCAAACACCAAAACAUCCGCCUGGGAACUACGAGCACAAACGCUUAAAACCCUAAGGACUUGGCGGUGUCCCAAACCCCCCUAGAGGAGCCUGUUCUGUAAUCGAUAAUCCACGCUUCACCCAACCCCUCCUUGCCAAAGCAGCCUACAUACCGCCGUCGUCAGCUCACCCUACACUGAGGGAUAAAUAGUGAGCACAAUAAUACCCCCCCCCCAUUAAUAAGACAGGUCAAGGUAUAGCCCAUGGAGGGGAAGAAAUGGGCUACAUUAUCUAAUAUAGAUCAUUUAACGGAAAGGGGCUUGAAACUUGCCCCUAGAAGGAGGAUUUAGCAGUAAAACAUGAUAAUCAAGCAUGCUUUAAGCUGGCCCUGGGACACGUACAUACCGCCCGUCACCCUCCUCACAAGCCACAACCCAAAAUAACCUUAAACCCUCUUCCCCUGGCUAGAGACGAGGUAAGUCGUAACAAGGUAAGUGUACCGGAAGGUGCACUUAGUCAACC